rnacentral:rRNA from 1 species
CCUACGGGUGGCAGCAGUGAGGAAUAUUGGUCAAUGGACGGACGUCUGAACCAGCCAUGCCGCGUGCAGGAAGACGGCUCUAUGAGUUGUAAACUGCUUUUGUCCAAGGGUAAACCUGAAUACGUGUAUUCAGCUGAAAGUACUGUACGAAUAAGGCUCGGCUAACUCCGUGCCAGCAGCCGCGGUAAUACGGAGGAUCCAAGCGUUAUCCGGAUUUUUUGGGUUUAAAGGGUGCGUAGGCGGAUUGAUAAGUUAGAGGUGAAAUGUGCGGGCUUAACUCGGGAACGGCCUCUAAUACUGGCGAUCUAGAGAGUAGAAGCGGUAGGCGGAAUGUAUGGUGUAGCGGUGAAAUGCAUAGAGAGCAUACAGAACACCGAUUGCGAAGGCAGCUUACCAAUCUAUAUCUGACGUUGAGGCACGAAAGCGUGGGGAGCAAACAGGAUUAGAUACCCGGGUAGUC